CGGUGCGGCAGCUAUAAUGCAGUCGAGCGGACAGAAGGGAGCUUGCUCCCGGAUGUUAGCGGCGGACGGGAGAGUAACACGUGGGUAACCUGCCUGUAAGACUGGGAUAACUCCGGGAAACCGGAGCUAAUACCGGAUAGUUCCUUGAACCGCAUGGUUCAAGGAUGAAAGACGGUUUCGGCUGUCACUUACAGAUGGACCCGCGGCGCAUUAGCUAGUUGGUGGGGUAAUGGCUCACCAAGGCGACGAUGCGUAGCCGACCUGAGAGGGUGAUCGGCCACACUGGGACUGAGACACGGCCCAGCUCCUACGGGAGGCAGCAGUAGGGAAUCUUCCGCAAUGGACGGAAAGUCUGACGGAGCAACGCCGCGUGAGUGAUGAAGGUUUUCGGAUCGUAAAGCUCUGUUGUUAGGGAAGAACAAGUGCGAGAGUAACUGCUCGCACCUUGACGGUACCUAACCAGAAAGCCACGGCUAACUACGUGCCAGCAGCCGCGGUAAUACGUAGGUGGCAAGCGUUGUCCGGAAUUAUUGGGCGUAAAGGGCUCGCAGGCGGUUUCUUAAGUCUGAUGUGAAAGCCCCCGGCUCAACCGGGGAGGGUCAUUGGAAACUGGGAAACUUGAGUGCAGAAGAGGAGAGUGGAAUUCCACGUGUAGCGGUGAAAUGCGUAGAGAUGUGGAGGAACACCAGUGGCGAAGGCGACUCUCUGGUCUGUAACUGACGCUGAGGAGCGAAAGCGUGGGGAGCGAACAGGAUUAGAUACCCUGGUAGUCCACGCCGUAAACGAUGAGUGCUAAGUGUUAGGGGGUUUCCGCCCCUUAGUGCUGCAGCUAACGCAUUAAGCACUCCGCCUGGGGAGUACGGUCGCAAGACUGAAACUCAAAGGAAUUGACGGGGGCCCGCACAAGCGGUGGAGCAUGUGGUUUAAUUCGAAGCAACGCGAAGAACCUUACCAGGUCUUGACAUCCUCUGACAACCCUAGAGAUAGGGCUUUCCCUUACGGGGACAGAGUGACAGGUGGUGCAUGUUGUCGUCAGCUCGUGUCGUGAGAUGUUGGGUUAAGUCCCGCAACGAGCGCAACCCUUGAUCUUAGUUGCCAGCAUUUAGUUGGGCACUCUAAGGUGACUGCCGGUGACAAACCGGAGGAAGGUGGGGAUGACGUCAAAUCAUCAUGCCCCUUAUGACCUGGGCUACACACGUGCUACAAUGGACAGAACAAAGGGCUGCAAGACCGCAAGGUUUAGCCAAUCCCAUAAAUCUGUUCUCAGUUCGGAUCGCAGUCUGCAACUCGACUGCGUGAAGCUGGAAUCGCUAGUAAUCGCGGAUCAGCAUGCCGCGGUGAAUACGUUCCCGGGCCUUGUACACACCGCCCGUCACACCACGAGAGUUUGCAACACCCGAAGUCGGUGAGGUAACCUUUAUGGAGCCAGCCGCCGAAGGUGGGGCAGAUGAUUGGGGUGAAGUCGUAACAAGUUAAACCGUAA
rnacentral:rRNA from 1 species